AUGAACGCUGGCGGCGUGCCUAAUACAUGCAAGUCGAGCGCACAGACGAGGAGCUUGCUCCUCUGACGUUAGCGGCGGACGGGUGAGUAACACGUGGAUAACCUACCUAUAAGACUGGGAUAACUUCGGGAAACCGGAGCUAAUACCGGAUAAUAUAUUUAACCGCAUGGUUCAAUAGUGAAAGACGGUUUUGCUGUCACUUAUAGAUGGAUCCGCGCCGCAUUAGCUAGUUGGUAAGGUAACGGCUUACCAAGGCAACGAUGCGUAGCCGACCUGAGAGGGCGAUCGGCCAGACUGGAACUAAGACACCGGCCAGACGCCUACGGGAGGCAGCAGUAGGGAAUCUUCCGCAAUGGGCGAAAGCCUGACGGAGCAACGCCGCGUGAGUGAUGAAGGUCUUCGGAUCGUAAAACUCUGUUAUUAGGGAAGAACAAAUGUGUAAGUAACUAUGCACGUCUUGACGGUACCUAAUCAGAAAGCCACGGCUAACUACGUG
rnacentral:rRNA from 1 species